GAUGAACGCUGGCGGCGUGCCUAAUACAUGCAAGUCGAGCGAACGGACGAGAAUCUUGCUUCUCUGAUGUUAUCGGCGGACGGGUGAGUAACACGUGGAUAACCUACCUAUAAGACUGGGAUAACUUCGGGAAACCGGAGCUAAUACCGGAUAAUAUUUUGAACCGCAUGGUUCAAACGUGAAAGACGGUCUUGCUGUCACUUAUAGAUGAAUCCGCGCUGCAUUAGCUAGUUGGUAAGGUAGCGGCUUACCAAGGCAACGAGGCAUAGCCGACCUGAGAGGGUGAUCGGCCACACUGGAACUGAGACACGGUCCAGACUCCGACGGGAGGCAGCAGUAGGGAAUCUUACGCAAGGGGCGAAAGCCGGACGGAGCAACGCCGCGGGAGUGAUGAAGGUCUCCGGAUCGGAAAACUCUGUUAUUAGGGAAGAACAUAUGGGUAAGUAGCUGUGAACAUCUUGACGGUACCUAAAGAGAAAGCCACGGCUAACUACGUG
rnacentral:rRNA from 1 species